rnacentral:rRNA from 1 species
CCUGACUGCUAUCGGAUUGAUACUAAGCCAUGCGAGUCAUUGUAGUAAUACAAGGCAGACGGCUCAGUAACGCGUAGUCAACCUAACCUAUGGACGGGAAUAACCUCGGGAAACUGAGAAUAAUGCCCGAUAGAACAUUAUGCCUGGAAUGGUUUAUGUUCCAAACGAUUUAUCGCCAUAGGAUGGGACUGCGGCCUAUCAGUUUGUUGGUGAGGUAAUGGCCCACCAAGACUAUUACGGGUACGGGCUCUGAGAGGAGUAGCCCGGAGAUGGGUACUGAGACACGGACCCAGGCCCUAUGGGGCGCAGCAGGCGAGAAAACUUUGCAAUGUGCGAAAGCACGACAAGGUUAAUCCGAGUGGUUUCUGCUAAAGGAACCUUUUGUCAGUCCUAAAAACACUAACGAAUAAGGGGUGGGCAAGUUCUGGUGUCAGCCGCCGCGGUAAAACCAGCACCUCAAGUGGUCAGGAUGAUUAUUGGGCCUAAAGCAUCCGUAGCCGGCUCUGUAAGUUUUCGGUUAAAUCUGUACGCUCAACGUACAGGCUGCCGGAAAUACUGCACAGCUAGGGAGUGGGAGAGGUAGACGGUACUCGGUAGGAAGGGGUAAAAUCCUUUGAUCUAUUGAUGACCACCUGUGGCGAAGGCGGUCUACCAGAACACGUCCGACGGUGAGGGAUGAAAGCUGGGGGAGCAAACCGGAUUAGAUACCCGGGUAGUCCCAGCUGUAAACUAUGCAAACUCAGUGAUGCAUUGGCUUAUGGCCAAUGCAGUGCUGCAGGGAAGCCGUUAAGUUUGCCGCCUGGGAAGUACGUACGCAGUAUGAWACUUAAGGAAUUGGCGKGGGAGCACCACAGGGUGAGCCUGCGUUC